rnacentral:rRNA from 1 species
AUUGAACGCUGGCGGCAGGCCUAACACAUGCAAGUCGAGCGGUUGAAGGGAGCUUGCUCCUGGAUUCAGCGGCGGACGGGUGAGUAAUGCCUAGGAAUCUGCCUGGUAGUGGGGGAUAACGUCCGGAAACGGGCGCUAAUACCGCAUACGUCCUGAGGGAGAAAGUGGGGGAUCUUCGGACCUCACGCUAUCAGAUGAGCCUAGGUCGGAUUAGCUAGUUGGUGGGGUAAAGGCCUACCAAGGCGACGAUCCGUAACUGGUCUGAGAGGAUGAUCAGUCACACUGGAACUGAGACACGGUCCAGACUCCGAAGGGAGGCAGCAGUGGGGAAUAUUGGACAAUGGGCGAAAGCCUGAUCCAGCCAUGCCGCGUGUGUGAAGAAGGUCUUCGGAUUGUAAAGCACUUUAAGUUGGGAGGAAGGGCAGUAAGUUAAUACCUUGCUGUUUUGACGUUACCAACAGAAUAAGCACCGGCUAACUUCGUG